UACGGGGGGGGCAAGCGUUGUUCGGAAUUACUGGGCGUAAAGGGCUCGUAGGCGGCCAACUAAGUCGGAUGUGAAAUCCCCAGGCUUAACCUGGGAACUGCAUCCGAUACUGGAUGGCUUGAAUCCGGGAGAGGGAUGCAGAAUUCCAGGUGUAGCGGUGAAAUGCGUAGAUAUCUGGAGGAAUACCGAUGGCGAAGGCAGCCUCCUGGGCCAGCACUGACGCUCAUGCACGAAAGCGUGGGGAGCAAACAGG
rnacentral:rRNA from 1 species